CCCGCGCGGGGCUCGCCGGCCCCCGGGCUCGGGCCCCUGGGCGCCGGGGGUCGGGGCGCGAGGCCCGGGCUCGGGCCCCCGGGCGCCGGG
rnacentral:tRNA from 1 species